CUGGCGGCGUGCUUAACACAUGCAAGUCGAACGAAGCACUUUAUUACGAUUUCUUCGGAAUGACGAUUAGUGACUGAGUGGCGGACGGGUGAGUAACGCGUGGGUAACCUGCCUUAUACAGGGGGAUAACAGUUAGAAAUGACUGCUAAUACCGCAUAAGCGCACAGGAUUGCAUGAUCUGGUGUGAAAAACUCCGGUGGUCUGGGAUGGACCCGCGUCCGAUUAGUUAGUGGCGGGGUAACGGCCCACCAAGACCGCGAUCGGUAGCCGACCUGAGAGGGUGACCGGCCACAUUGGGACUGAGACACGGCCCAGACUCCUACGGGAGGCAGCAGUGGGGAAUAUUGCACAAUGGAGGAAACUCUGAUGCAGCGACGCCGCGUGAGCGAAGAAGUAUUUCGGUAUGUAAAGCUCUGUCAGCAGGGAAGAUAAUGACGGUACCUGACCAAGAAGCCCCGGCUAACUACGUG
rnacentral:rRNA from 1 species